GUUAUGGAUGAGGUAAAUACUUUUUUGCCUCAACUUCUACUCAUUUAUAAAAGUGGUUGACAUGCAUAAACUAUUUGAAAAGUUACAAUCCUUUUAAAUGAGAACAAACAAAUUUUCAAUUAUAUUCUCUUCGUAUGUUCAUUCUGUUUCUUUAGUAGUAAGAGUUGGUUCCUAAUCCCUUCUUUUACAUUGCUUUUUGUUUGGUUUCAGGCUAAUAAGCUUUUGUCCCCAGAAUUCCAAUCUUCUAUAGUUGUUAUUAAUUUUAAUUUUUCCAAGAAUUCAGAAACUUAUCUCCAUAGGAUAUACUGAUUUUUCCUCAUUCCCUUCCUAAUUUAUUUACCUUGACACUGAUUUCCUGUUCUAAUGGAUCAUAUACGGAUAUACAGGUCGGUCGCUCAGGAAGGUUUGGGCAUCUUGGUUUAGCAGUUAACUUUAUCACUUAUUGGGACCGCUUUAAUUUGAUUGAACAAGAAUUUGGAAUUGAAAUAAAGCAAAUUCCACCACACAUUGACCAGGUAUGACAGGAUGGAGUUUAAUAUUAGCCUUUUAACUGGCAGAUAUUUUGCUGGGUUCAGUUUGGGUUUUCCUUAAUUUCAUUUUCAGAUGUGUUUGUUGCUAACAUUAGUAACAUGCUGGGCCCUGUUUGGCA